UACGGAGGGUGCAAGCGUUAUCCGGAUUCACUGGGUUUAAAGGGUGCGUAGGCGGUGAGGUAAGUCCGGGGUGAAAUCUCUGAGCUUAACUCAGAAACUGCCAUGGAUACUAUUUGUCUUGAAUAUUGUGGAGGUAAGCGGAAUAUGUCAUGUAGCGGUGAAAUGCUUAGAUAUGACAUAGAACACCAAUUGCGAAGGCAGCUUACUACACAGUUAUUGACGCUGAGGCACGAAAGCGUGGGGAUCAAACAGG
rnacentral:rRNA from 1 species